rnacentral:rRNA from 1 species
UACACAUGCAAGUCCAGCGGUAACAGGGGGUGCUUGCACCCCGCUGACGAGCGGCGGACGGGUGAGUAAUGCAUAGGAAACUGCCCAGUAGUGGGGGAUAGCCCGGGGAAACCCGGAUUAAUACCGCGUACGCCCUUCGGGGGAAAGCAGGGGAUCUUCGGACCUUGCGCUAUUGGAUGUGCCUAUGUCGGAUUAGCUAGUUGGUGGGGUAAAGGCCUACCAAGGCGACGAUCCGUAGCUGGUCUGAGAGGAUGAUCAGCCACAUCGGGACUGAGACACGGCCCGAACUCCUACGGGAGGCAGCAGUGGGGAAUAUUGGACAAUGGGGGCAACCCUGAUCCAGCCAUGCCGCGUGUGUGAAGAAGGCUUUCGGGUUGUAAAGCACUUUCAGUGAGGAGGAAAACUCUGCGACUAAUACUCGUAGGGCUUGACGUUACUCACAGAAGAAGCACCGGCUAACUCCGUGCCAGCAGCCGCGGUAAUACGGAGGGUGCAAGCGUUAAUCGGAAUUACUGGGCGUAAAGCGCGCGUAGGUGGUUUGAUAAGCGAGAUG